AUUGAACGCUGGCGGCAGGCCUAACACAUGCAAGUCGAACGCGUGGCGGACGGGUGAGUAAUGUCUGGGACACUGCCCGAUGGAGGGGGAUAACUACUGGAAACGGUAGCUAAUACCGCAUACCCUCGGAUGUGCCCAGAUGGGAUUAGCUAGUGGGUGGGGUAAUGGCUCACCUAGGCGACGAUCCCUAGCUGGUCUGAGAGGAUGCCCAGCCAAACUGGAACGGAGACACGGUCCAGACUCCUACGGGAGGCAGCAGUGGGGAAGAGUGCACAAUGGGCGGAAGCCUGAGACAGCCAUGCCGCGUGUAUGAAGAGGGCCUUCGGGUUUGAAAGUACUUUCAGCGAGGAGGCGUUACUCGCAGAAGAAGCACCGGCUAACUCCGUGCCAGCAGCCGCGGUAAUUC
rnacentral:rRNA from 1 species